rnacentral:rRNA from 1 species
CAAUUUUCUGCCACCGAAUACAUUAGCAUGGGAUAAUGGAAUAGGACCCUGUCCUCCUAUUUUCAGUUGGUUUUGGCAGCGCGAGGACUAGGGUAAUGAUUAAUAGGGAUAGUUGGGGGCAUUAAUAUUUAAUUGUCAGAGGUGAAAUUCUUGGAUUUAUGAAAGAUUAACUUCUGCGAAAGCAUCUGCCAAGGAUGUUUUCAUUAAUCAAGAACGAAAGUUAGGGGAUCGAAGACGAUCAGAUACCGUCGUAGUCUUAACCAUAAACGAUGCCGACCAGCGAUUAGGAGACGUUGAAUACAAAACACCACCAUCGGCGCGGUCGUCCUUGGCGUGUCUCGGCUUCACGGCUGGGGCGCGCGAGGGCGGUUUAGCCCGGUGGCACCGGUGAAUGACUCC